GAAACUCCAAUUUCAUGAUGCCAGUAGAAAAAUGGGACCCAGUGCAAGACUGAUAUUUCCAGGUCCUCCAGCCACUAUAAAAUUUCUCAUUUUCUUGCAAGAAUGGCAGAAUCUCUUUCUCUUUUUGGAAGAACUCAUUGUCCCCAUGACCUGAACUGUUCCCCCAGCACCCCCUCUGCCGCCCUCAUGCCUCCUUUUACCUGCACACACCGUUUGGACCCGAAUUUGGUAAAGAGGAGGGACACUGGAUCCACUGAAGUGGUGAAGAGGUGUCAAGACAAAGUUUGGAGAAGCCUCAAAGAAGUACUCUAGGAACAAUGUGAUUGGGAACUUGUUAUUUCUGUUCUUCCCCCUCUCUUCGAACAAACCUCUGCGAAGAGCCAAACUCACAAAUACACCACCAUGAUGGCACUUAGAAAAACUGGAAACAUGGGACCAGACUGUAAGUCCUAUAGUAAGUUUUUUUUUUUUAAUCAUAUAAUGUCAAAGGAAAUGAUACCUUUAUAACUGCAACUUUGAUCAGUCGACGAGUAUUUUUUUCAAUGCUCUUCUACUCCAUGUCUGUAGGAAAACAAACCAAAGCUAAAAUGAAGUAUGUUUGGGAGGGGCUUGAUGUCAGCUUCCAGUUCCUGCUGGACUAGAACUCUGUGUGUUAAGGGAUUCUGGUCGAAGAUUCCUGAAAAGCCUUACAUAUUAAGUCCUGUCUGUGAAUGUGGUGCCACCUGAGUGCCCUGCUUCUCCUUCCUGAGAAGGAGAUCCAGGCAGGUGGCACCUUGCUGAGGCCAGGAGAAGCUGCUUCCCACCACCCCAUUCCUCCCUCUUGUGGGGGGAAGCCCCUUAGAAGAACGCUGAGGUUUGGGGCCUCCCCGCCGAGGUACCCAGUAGUAACUUCAACUAGCUAAUGAGUAAAGGACAGUAACAAGAAUAAAUCCCAAUGAGUUUAUUAAAAAACUGAAUCA
rnacentral:lncRNA from 1 species